GAGAUGUGAUGAAUGAAAUUGGUCCGUGUUUCUGAUUGAACAGUGACAGAUAACACCUCUUUUUUUUACUCUUCUGAUCUC
rnacentral:snoRNA from 1 species